rnacentral:rRNA from 1 species
AGCGAACGCUGGCGGCAGGCCUAACACAUGCAAGUCGAACGAACCUUUCGGGGUUAGUGGCGGAAGGGUGAGUAACACGUGGGAACGUGCCUUUAGGUUCGGAAUAACUCAGGGAAACUUGUGCUAAUACCGAAUGUGCCCUUCGGGGGAAAGAUUAAUCGCCUUUAGAGCGGCCCGCGUCUGGCUAGCUAGUUGGUUGAGGUAAUGGCUCACCAAGGCGACGAUCAGUAGCUGGUCUGAGAGGAUGAUCAGCCACAUUGGGACUGAGACACGGCCCAAACUCCUACGGGAGGCAGCAGUGGGGAAUCUUGCGCAAUGGGCGAAAGCCUGACGCAGCCAUGCCGCGUGAAUGAUGAAGGUCUUAGGAUUGUAAAAUUCUUUCACCGGGGACGAUAAUGACGGUACCCGGAGAAGAAGCCCCGGCUAACUUCGUG